AAAAUCCAGAACGGCGAGCAAGGUAGAAAAUGGGGGUAGAAAUAGUGCUGACUAUCUUGGCCAUUGUAAUGGCUUCUGGAAUCGAUUUGUACAUCACGUUAUUUUAAUGGAACAAUAUCUCCUCCUUUACUUAGCUUGUACCUUUUCAGGGAUCAUGAAAAUGCUUAAGCUGCCUCUUGAUGAAUUUGCUCUAUAGGAGCAGGGCCUGAAUUGCUUUUGUAUUGGUUUGCUUAAUUUUAAAACUGAGCAGAGUUUAGAGCGGGGGGUUUUUGAAUGGUAAUCGAUGUCUUACAUUGUAUGGAGGGAAGGACAGAUGAUUAAGGAAUUUCUAAGGCUGAUGAUGGUUUCUGCUGCUAUUACAUGUUGACUGCUGGCCGCGCUUACUAACCAAGCACUAAGGCUUCGUUUGGAAUUAUAGGGGAUUGUAUUACAUGCGGUAAAAAAAUACGUUGAAAAAAUAAUGUUAAUUUUUAUUUUCGUAUGUAAUAUUACGUUCCGCAUAUUGCAAUGAGCCGGUUACGAUAUAUUUUCUGCGGUCCCACCGGAGAACGCAGAAAUAUAUUGCUAUAUGCUUUUUUUUCAAUUUCAUUUUAUUUAAUAGUAUUAGAUAGACCUCAAUAUCAAAUUAAGCCUAAAUUUAGAUCAAAUUGGUGGUCCCUCUUAUAUCUUCAAACAGUAAAACAUUCCCUAAAGCUUAAUACGAAAAGGCUGAAUUGUUUAAGGAUGACAAGAAGAAAACUUACGUUAUAAAACCUCUACUUUGCGGCGCACGGUGUUGUAAGGAAAAACAGUAAAAAAAANGGCUUCUGGAAUCGAUUUGUACAUCACGUUAUUUUAAUGGAACAAUAUCUCCUCCUUUACUUAGCUUGUACCUUUUCAGGGAUCAUGAAAAUGCUUAAUCUGUCUCUUGAUGAAUUUGCUCUAUAGGAGCAGGGCCUGAAUUGGUUUUGUAUUGGUUUGCUUAAUUUUAAAACUGAGCAGAUAGUUUAGAGCGGGGGGUUUUUGAAUGGUAAUCGAUGUCUUACAUUGUAUGGAGGGAAGGACGGAUGAUUAAGGAAUUUCUAAGGCUGAUGAUGGUUUCUGCUGCUAUUACAUGUUGACUGCUGACCGCGUUUAUUAACCAAGCACUAAGGCUUUGUUUGGAAUUAUAGGAGGAUUGCAUUACAUGCGGUAAGAAAAUAUGUUGGAAAAAUAAUAUUAAUAUUUGUUUUCGUAUGUAAUAUUACGUUUCGCAUAUUGCAAUGAGUCGGUUACGGUAUAUUUUCUGCGGUCUAACCGGAGAACGCAGAAAUAUAUUGCUAUAUGCUUUUUUUUUUAAUUUCAUUUUAUUUAAUAGUAUUAGAUAGACCUCAAUAUCAAAUUAAACCUAAAUUUAGAUCAAAUUGGCGGUCCCUCUUAUAUCUUCAAACAGUAAAACAUUCCCUAAAGCUUA
rnacentral:lncRNA from 1 species